GACGAACGCGGGCGGCGUCUUAAUACAUGCAAGUCGAACGAACCGCGACUAGGUGCUUGCACUUGGUCAAGGUGAGUGGCGAACGGGUGAGUAACACGUGGGUAACCUACCUCAUAGUGGGGGAUAACAGUCGGAAACGACUGCUAAUACCGCAUAGGACAUAGGAUCACAUGAUCCAGUGAGGAAAGGUGGCGCAAGCUAUCGCUAAGAGAUGGACCCGCGGUGCAUUAGCUAGUUGGUAGGGUAAAGGCCUACCAAGGCGAUGAUGCAUAGCCGACCUGAGAGGGUGAUCGGCCACAUUGGGACUGAGACACGGCCCAAACUCCUACGGGAGGCAGCAGUAGGGAAUCUUCCGCAAUGGACGCAAGUCUGACGGAGCAACGCCGCGUGAGUGAAGAAGGUCUUCGGAUCGUAAAGCUCUGUUGUUAGAGAAGAACAGCGCAUAGAGUAAACUGUAUGCGU
rnacentral:rRNA from 1 species